rnacentral:rRNA from 1 species
GACAGAGGUGCCGAGCGUUAGGCGGAAUCACUGGGCUUAAAGCGUGUGUAGGCGGAUGGGUAAGUACCUUGUGAAAUCCCACGGCUCAACCGUGGAACUGCUCGGUAUACUGCUCGUCUUGAGCCAACUAGGGGCGACCGGAACAAACGGUGGAGCGGUGAAAUGCUUAGAUAUCGUUUGGAACGCCGAUGGUGAAAACAGGUCGCUGGGGUUGUGCUGACGCUGAGACACGAAAGCCAGGGGAGCGAACGGG